rnacentral:rRNA from 1 species
GACGAACGCUGGCGGCGUGCUUAACACAUGCAAGUCGAACGGAAAGGCCCUGCUUUUGUGGGGUGCUCGAGUGGCGAACGGGUGAGUAACACGUGAGUAACCUGCCCUUGUCUUUGGGAUAACUUCAGGAAACUGGGGCUAAUACCGGAUAGGAGCUCCUGCUGCAUGGUGGGGGUUGGAAAGUUUCGGCGGUUGGGGAUGGACUCGCGGCUUAUCAGCUUGUUGGUGGGGUAGUGGCUUACCAAGGCUUUGACGGGUAGCCGGCCUGAGAGGGUGACCGGCCACAUUGGGCCUGAGGUACGGCCCAGACUCCUACGGGAGGCAGCAGUGGGGAAUAUUGCACAAUGGGCGGGAGCCUGAUGCAGCAACGCCGCGUGCGGGAUGACGGCCUUCGGGUUAUAAACCGCUUUCGCCUGUGACGAAGCGUGAGUGACGGUAAUGGGUAAAGAAGCACCGGCUAACUACGUG